rnacentral:rRNA from 1 species
UACGGAGGGUGCGAGCGUUGUCCGGAAUCACUGGGCGUAAAGGGCGCGUAGGUGGCCCGCGCAAGCGUGCGGUGAAAGCCCGGGGCUCAACCCCGGGUCGGCCGUGCGGACUGCGGGGCUGGAGCACUGUAGGGGCGGGUGGAAUUCCGGGUGUAGCGGUGGAAUGCGUAGAGAUCCGGAAGAACACCGGUGGCGAAGGCGGCCCGCUGGGCAGUAGCUGACACUGAGGCGCGACAGCGUGGGGAGCAAACAGG